rnacentral:rRNA from 1 species
GGGGAGCCGAAGGGAAACCGAGUCUUAACUGGGCGUUAAGUUGCAGGGUAUAGACCCGAAACCCGGUGAUCUAGCCAUGGGCAGGUUGAAGGUUGGGUAACACUAACUGGAGGACCGAACCGACUAAUGUUGAAAAAUUAGCGGAUGACUUGUGGCUGGGGGUGAAAGGCCAAUCAAACCGGGAGAUAGCUGGUUCUCCCCGAAAGCUAUUUAGGUAGCGCCUCGUGAAUUCAUCUCCGGGGGUAGAGCACUGUUUCGGCAAGGGGGUCAUCCCGACUUACCAACCCGAUGCAAACUGCGAAUACCGGAGAAUGUUAUCACGGGAGACACACGGCGGGUGCUAACGUCCGUCGUGAAGAGGGAAACAACCCAGACCGCCAGCUAAGGUCCCAAAGUCAUGGUUAAGUGGGAAACGAUGUGGGAAGGCCCAGACAGCCAGGAUGUUGGCUUAGAAGCAGCCAUCAUUUAAAGAAAGCGUAAUAGCUCACUGGUCGAGUCGGCCUGCGCGGAAGAUGUAACGGGGCUAAACCAUGCACCGAAGCUGCGGCAGCGACACUAUGUGUUGUUGGGUAGGGGAGCG